rnacentral:rRNA from 1 species
AGAGUUUGAUCAUGGCUCAGAUUGAACGCUGGCGGCAUGCCUUACACAUGCAAGUCGAACGGUAACGCGGGGCAACCUGGCGACGAGUGGCGAACGGGUGAGUAAAGCAUCGGAACGUGCCCAGUAGUGGGGGAUAGCCCGGCGAAAGCCGGAUUAAUACCGCAUACGACCUACGGGUGAAAGGGGGGGAUCGCAAGACCUCUCGCUAUUGGAGCGGCCGAUGUCAGUUUAGGUAGUUGGUGGGGUAAAGGCCUACCAAGCCGACGAUCUGUAGCUGGUCUGAGAGGACGACCAGCCACACUGGGACUGAGACACGGCCCAGACUCCUACGGGAGGCAGCAGUGGGGAAUUUUGGACAAUGGGCGCAAGCCUGAUCCAGCCAUGCCGCGUGCGGGAAGAAGGCCUUCGGGUUGUAAACCGCUUUUGUCAGGGAAGAAACGCUCUGGGAUAAUACCCUGGGGUAAUGACGGUACCUGAAGAAUAAGCACCGGCUAACUACGUG